UCAAUGUCUGUGAUUGCUGGCUGGUCUAUUUAUGAAGGCUUGUUAACAAAUAUCCUACAAACACAGAAAAUGGAGAAAAAAAAGGAAUCGCAACCCGAACUGGACUGAGGAGCAAGGUUUGUUGCUGGCCCAGUUGGUGAACCAACAUAAAGGCGACGAUUGUGAGAAAAGGUGGUAUGUGCUGCAGUCCAAGGCAAAAGAUGAGAUUUCAGCACAGAAGCGGGAAUCCUCACUCACAGGUGGAUGGUGGUUCUAUCUCAUGGUGGUGGUCGUCCCUG